CCUCAUAUGCGUAUGAGUAUAAUAUGGCACCAGAGCCAAUGAAUGGUUAGCAACAGUGAAUACAUUCCAUGGACCACAGGAAAAGGUCAACCGUGGAGGAAUUCUUACCUUUCAGUGUAAGUGAAUGUCUUCUGCUAGUGCAAUCCAUUGCGUCCAAUGAUGUAUAUAUAUUUGUGCAACAAAGGAUAAGGAAAAAAGGGGGAAAAAGAAAUAGUUAGAAACAGACGUUCUAAAUUAAUACGCAAGUGUAAAAAAUGAUUGGUUAAAAAAGAAAAAUGCUAUAAGUUGAAGAAGAAGAAGAAUUAAAAAUUGGAAGAAGAAAUACCUCGGGGAGUUUUUGAGAGAGGAGGAGCUCUGGAUUGAUACCUGAACUUUUCGCCAUGGAAGCCCCUCUUAAGAUUGAAAGUAGCUUUUCAAUUUCUG
rnacentral:lncRNA from 1 species